GAUGAACGCUGGCGGCGUGCCUAAUACAUGCAAGUCGAGCGAACAGAUGAGGAGCUUGCUCCUCUGACGUUAGCGGAGGACGGGUGAGUAACACGUGGAUACCCUACCUAUAAGACUGGGAUCACUUCGGGACACCGGAGCUAAUACCGGAGAAUAUCUUGAACCGCGUGGUUGGUUAGUGAAAGACGGUUUUGCUGUCAGUUAUAGCUGGAUCCGCGCGGGAUUAGCUAGUUGGUAAGGUAACGGCUUACCAAGGCAACGAUGCGUAGCCGAGCGGAGGGAGGGGUCGGCCACACGGGAGCGUAGACACGGACCAUACUCCUACGGGACGCAGCAGUAUGGAAUCGUCCGCAGUGGGCGAAAGCCUGACGGAGCAACGCCGAGUGUGUUACGACAGUCUUCGGUUCGUAAUACCCUGUUACGAGGGAAGAACAAAUGUGUAAUGAACUAUGCCCGUCUUGACGGUACCUAAUCAGAAAGCCCCGGCUAACUACGUG
rnacentral:rRNA from 1 species